GAUGAAGAACGUAGUGAAAUGCGAUAAGUAAUGUGAAUUGCAGAAUUCAGUGAAUCAUCGAAUCUUUGAACGCACAUUGCGCCCGUCAGUAUUCUGGCGGGCAUGCCUGUUCGAGCGUCAUUACGCCCCUCAAGUCCCCUGUGGACUUGGUGUUGGGGAUCGGCGAGGCUGGUUUUCCAGCACAGCCGUCCCUUAAAUUAAUUGGCGGUCUCGCCGUGGCCCUCCUCUGCGCAGUAGUAAAACACUCGCAACAGGAGCCCGGCGCGGUCCACUGCCGUAAAACCCCCCAACUUUUUAUAGUUGACCUCGAAUCUGGUAGGACUACCCGCUGAACUUAAGCAUAUCAAUAAGCGGAGGA
rnacentral:misc_RNA from 1 species